rnacentral:rRNA from 1 species
UUCUGGGCCGCACGCGCGCUACACUGACAGAAGCCAACGAGUUCAUUUCCUUGCCCGGCAAGGGUUGGGUAAUCUUGUUAAACUCUGUCGUGCUGGGGAUAGAGCAUUGCAAUUAUUGCUCUUCAACGAGGAAUGCCUAGUAAGCGUACGUCAUCAGCGUGCGUUGAUUACGUCCCUGCCCUUUGUACACACCGCCCGUCGCUACUACCGAUUGAAUGGCUGAGUGAGGCCUUCGGACUGGCCCAGGGAGGUCGGCAACGACCACCCAGGGCCGGAAAGUUGGUCAAACUCCGUCAUUUAGAGGAAGUAAAAGUCCUAACCAGGUUUCCGUAGGUGAACCUGCCGAAGGAUCAUUAAAGAGUAAGGGUGCUCAGCGCCCGACCUCCAACCCUUUGUUGUUAAAACUACCUUGUUGCUUUGGCCGGACCGCUCGGUCUCGAGCCCCUGGGGAUUCCUCCCAGGCCAGCGCCCCCCCACAGUUAAACCCAACUCUUGUUAUUAAACCGGUCCCC